rnacentral:tRNA from 1 species
UCCCUAGUGGCCAAUUGGUUAAGGCUCUGUGCUUCCAAUGCAGGGGGCACAGGUUCAGUCCCUGGUUGGAGAA